CGCCGCGUUUCCACGACAACUCCUUGGAAACAAACACCACGCAGCGUCAUCUUCCCCGGCAGGAAAAGGCCAGAUCCUGCCCCGCCCCUCUGAGGCAUAGCAAAGCUGGCCGCAGGGCGGGGACGGAUCUGCCCCGGGAAGACCCCUGCCCUCGUGGCCCAGCCAGGGGAGUCCCCUUCUUUCCUUCAAAGGUCCCGCUCAGGACUGGGGAGGGCCCCCGCCCGGGCCCCUCCCCCUCUGUUUCCUCCAAGCCGAGCGGGUUGAGAAGUCUUCCUGCUCCGGAGGGCGGACAAUUCAUCGUUCCCUCUACCCCCACGCAUCGCCAACCAGGAAGAGCGCGAGCUGCCCAGCUCGAUCCCAAAUGUGCAGCCAAGAAGCGGAGUCUUGGUGGGAGGUAUCUGAGGCUUGGACCGCGUAUGGAGCAGGACCAGAUGGGGCGCCCGAUCGACGAUGGUCCCCCCAAAGCGCCAAGCUGAAAUACAGGGGCGCCGUCUAGUGGGCAUUUGGGGAAAAGCAAGUGGAGGAAGGCCGCACCCACUGUCUAAGGGGGUUCCAGGCCCACAUCCUGGGCCACGUGAGAAGACGCGAUUCACUACCUCACUAUAAACCCAGUCCCAUGAAUCCCUGGA